GACGAACGCUGGCGGCGUGCUUAACACAUGCAAGUCGAACGGAAAGGCCCUGCUUUUGUGGGGUGCUCGAGUGGCGAACGGGUGAGUAACACGUGAGUAACCUGCCCUUGACUUUGGGAUAACUUCAGGAAACUGGGGCUAAUACCGGAUAGGAGCUCCUGCUGCAUGGUGGGGGUUGGAAAGUUUCGGCGGUUGGGGAUGGACUCGCGGCUUAUCAGCUUGUUGGUGGGGUAGUGGCUUACCAAGGCUUUGACGGGUAGCCGGCCUGAGAGGGUGGCCGGCCACAUUGGGACUGAGAUACGGCCCAGACUCCUACGGGAGGCAGCGGUGGGGAAUAUUGCACAAUGGGCGGAAGCCUGAUGCAGCAACGCCGCGUGCGGGAUGACGGCCUUCGGGUUGUAAACCGCUUUCGCCUGUGACGAAGCGUGAGUGACGGUAAUGGAUAAAGAAGCACCGGCUAACUACGUG
rnacentral:rRNA from 1 species